rnacentral:rRNA from 1 species
UGACGGUAGUCGUAUGCUCGUCUCCGAGACUAAGCCAUGCAAGUCCAAGUACACGUCCUUGAACGACGGAAACUGCGAACGGCUCAUUAAAUCAGUUGCGAUCUACUCGGCGUUCCGCGCCGCCGGAUAACCGUAGUAAUUCUAGGGCUAAUACGUGCGAAGCGCCCGAAGCCGCGAGGCGACGGGCGUUCUCGCCGGAUGUAGGAACCGACCCCGGGGGACCGCCGGGGGCAACCCGGCGCCCCCGAGACGGGGCGAACCACGGUGAAAUGACGGAUCGUCGGCCCCGCGCCGGCGACUCGCCGAAUGAGUUUCUGACCUAUCAACUCGAGACGGCGGGGUAGAGGCCCGCCGCGGUAACGACGGGUAACGGGGAAUCAGGGUUCGAUUCCGGAGAGGGAGCCUGAGAGAUGGCUACCACUUCCAAGGAAGGCAGCAGGCGCGCAAAUUACCCAAUCCCGA